UACGUAGGUGGCAAGCGUUAUCCGGAAUUCCUGGGCGUAAAGCGCACGCAGGCGGUCUUUUAAGUUUGACGUGAAAGCUCCCGGCUUAACUGGGAGAGGUCGUUGAAGACUGGGAGACUUGAGGCAAUGAGAGGGGUGUAGAAUUCCCGGUGUAGUGGUGGAAUGCGUAGAUAUCGGGGGGAAUACCAGUGGCGAAAGCGGCACCCUAGCAUUAGCCUGACGCUCAUGUGCGAAAGCGUGGGGAGCGAACGGG
rnacentral:rRNA from 1 species